AGAAGGCUUGGAACUUUGUCUUGUUAAAAACUUUCUUUGGCUAGAAAAAGAAUGACUCUGCAGCUAGGAGAAAUAAAAAAAGUUCUUAAUGAAAAGAAGGAUCUUACUGAUACACAGGGCAUGAAUGCAGAGCAAAAUACCUUAUUCUAUAAGCUUUUCUGUUAACACAGAGUAAAUGAUGUUUAUUUAACACAAAAAUCAAUUCUUGUAAAAAGUAAUUAUGUAUAAAGAUAAAUUUAUAUCUUGAAAAACUCUUAUACCUGAGAUUACCGCCUUUCUAAGUUUCAGAAGGAGGAUGAUCCUGAACUACUGACCCUCUUGCCACUACCUCCCAAGUUCUCCUAUUACAUGAGUGCACCAGUAUGUCCAGCUUUCCUUGGCAAAACACUUACACAGAUUAAAUAAGAAGAAAAGAAAGAAAUGUGAAAACAGGGACCAGGGAGACAGCACAGCAAGUAAAAGCUCUUGUUGCCAAGGCUGAUGACCUGAGUUUGAUUCUGGGGACCCACACAGUGAAAGGAAAGAGUUAACUCAGACAAGUUGUCCUCUGAGUGCCAUACUUCUGCCAUACAUACACAAAUAAUAAGUAUGAAAAUGAAACUAUCAAAAAUAUGAAGAAUGAGCACAUAUCCAAUCAUCUUUCUCUUCCUGCUAUAAAAUGCUAAUUCGCAUUGUUUAGCUAAAUUGAUAAAGCAUAGCUUACCUGAUUUUCAUCCUGAACCUCCAUGCUGUACUGGUCACCUGGCUGUACUUCCGGGACUUUCUCUCCAAGGAGGAAACCCAGACGAGUCAUGAGUGUGUUUGCUGCCUCAUCUACAGAUGGAGGUGGCCCAAGUUCCUGUUCAACAUCACCUGGAGCAAGAAGACAGCAAACAUGAAUCUUAAAAAUAAAAUGGUCUACUUCUAUUA